rnacentral:ncRNA from 1 species
ACCGAGGAGUGUAACUUGUACGCGAGUCAAAGGGUGGAAAACGAAAAUCCCAUGGCGAAAUGAAAGUAAAGGUUGGCUAACCGGCUGACAUGGGAUCUGCUCUUCGAGGCAGCGCACCAUGGCCCUGUCUCGUCUGCUUGCAGAUGGGCAACGGUAGAGCGUACAGAUUGCGACCGGAAAGAUGGUGAACUAUGCUUGAGCAGGACGAAGGCAGAGGAGACUCUGAUGGAAGUCCAUAUCGGUUCUAACUUGCAAAUCGAUCGAUAGACUUGGGUAUAGGGGCGAAAGACUAAUCGAACCAUCUAGUAGCUGGUUCCCUCCGAAGUUUCCCCCAGGAUAGCUGGAGUUCAUUGCGGUUAUAUCCGGUAAAGCGAAUGAUUAGAGGACUUGGGGUCGAAACGACCUCAACCUAUUCUCAAACUUUCAAUGGGUAUGUUGUCUCGGUUUCUUUGUUGAACUGCUGACACGAACGCGAGCUCCAAG